AUUGAACGCUGGCGGCAUGCUUUACACAUGCAAGUCGAACGGCAGCGCGGGCUUCGGCCUGGCGGCGAGUGGCGAACGGGUGAGUAAUGCAUCGGAACGUGCCCAGUUGUGGGGGAUAGCCCGGCGACAGCCGGAUUAAUACCGCAUACGACCUGAGGGUGAAAGCGGGGGACCGAAAGGCCUCGCGCUCUUGGCGGGGCCGAUGUCGGAUUAGCUAGUUGGUGGGGUAAAGGCUUACCAAGGCGACGAUCCGUAGCUGGUCUGAGAGGACGACCAGCCACACUGGGACUGAGACACGGCCCAGACUCCUACGGGAGGCAGCAGUGGGGAAUUUUGGACAAUGGGGGCAACCCUGAUCCAGCCAUGCCGCGUGCGGGAAGAAGGCCUUCGGGUUGUAAACCGCUUUUGUUCGGGAAGAAAACCUCUGGGCUAAUACCCCGGGGGGAUGACGGUACCGGAAGAAUAAGCACCGGCUAACUACGUG
rnacentral:rRNA from 1 species